rnacentral:rRNA from 1 species
AUGUCGAAGCGACCGAGGCUCGAGGGCUUCAGCAUCCCGCGCCCCACCUCAUACAGCUUCGAACGCUCCCAACCCGCGCCGCGCCUCUACGUCCCCGCCGAUGACGACCUCGACGACAUCGCCUUCUCUGACGACGCAGCCGCACCCUCGGACGCCGGGGAGGGUGGCAAGGCGGAGGACGACGAGAUCGACCCGCUCGACGCGUUCAUGGCAGAGAUCCAGGAGGAGAUCCGCGCGCCGCCCCCGCCGCCCAAGCCCAAGGCACUCCGCCCCGCGGAUUCCGAUGAGGACGACGACCCCAUGGAGAGCUUCCUGCGGGCCAAGAAGGAUGCCGGGCUCACGCUUGCCGCCGACGUCAUGAACGCCGGGUAUAACUCCGACGAGGAGGUGUACGCUGCCGCGAAGGCCGUCGACGCCGGCAUGAUGGAGUACGACUCCGACGACAACCCCAUAGUAUUGGACAAGAGGAAGAUAGAGCCCAUACCACCGCUGGACCAUUCGACCAUCGAGUAUGAGCCCUUCACCAAGGACUUCUACGAGGAGAAGCCGUCAGUUUCAGGGAUGAGCGUGGAAGAGGUGGCUGAUUAUAUGAAAAGUUUGGCAAUCCGGGUUUCAGGCUUUGAUGUGCCAAGGCCAGUUAAAAACUUUGAGGAUUGUGGGUUUCCUGUUCCAUUGAUGAAUGCUAUUGCCAAGCAGGGUUAUGAAAAGCCGACAACAAUUCAGUGCCAGGCUUUACCUAUUGUCCUUUCAGGUAGAGAUAUCAUUGGUAUUGCGAAAACUGGUUCAGGCAAGACCGCAGCAUUUGUACUCCCUAUGAUUGUUCACAUUAUGGAUCAGCCUGAGCUUCAGAAGGAAGAAGGUCCAAUAGGAGUCAUAUGUGCUCCAACAAGAGAAUUGGCACAUCAGAUAUAUCUCGAAGCUAAGAAGUUUGCAAAGCCUUACAAUCUUCAAGUUGCUGCUGUUUAUGGUGGUGUUUCCAAAUUUGAACAGUUUAAAGAACUGAAAUCAGGCUGUGAAAUAGUCGUUGCUACCCCAGGGAGACUGAUAGACUUGCUUAAGAUGAAGGCACUGAAGAUGUUUAGGGCAACUUAUCUGGUUCUUGAUGAAGCUGAUCGCAUGUUUGAUCUUGGGUUCGAGCCUCAGAUACGAUCCAUUGUUGGUCAAAUUAGACCAGACCGACAAACCUUGCUUUUUUCUGCAACAAUGCCAUGCAAAGUGGAACGAUUGGCUAGAGAAAUUUUGACUGACCCUAUUCGAGUCACAGUUGGUCAAGUUGGUAGUGCUAAUGAAGACAUUAAACAAGUUGUGAAUGUACUCCCUUCUGAUGCUGAGAAAAUGCCAUGGCUUCUUGAGAAAAUGCCUGGUAUGAUUGAUGAUGGAGAUGUGCUUGUAUUUGCAACUAAGAAGGCUCGAGUCGAUGAGGUUGAGAACCAGUUGAAUCAGCAUGGAUUCAAAGUUGCAGCACUUCAUGGUGACAAGGAUCAAGCAUCUCGGAUGGAGACACUGCAGAAGUUCAAGUCUGGGAUUUACCAUGUUCUUGUUGCAACUGAUGUUGCUGCACGUGGUCUGGACAUAAAGUCAAUUAAAACAGUUGUCAACUUUGAUAUUGCAAAAGAAAUGGAUAUGCAUAUUCACCGCAUUGGAAGAACUGGCCGGGCCGGUGAUAAAGAUGGCACCGCAUAUACUCUUAUUACACAGAAAGAAUCACGAUUUGCAGGCGAAUUGGUUCAUAGUUUAAUUGCUGCUGGUCAAGAUGUACCCAACGAACUUAUGGACCUGGCAAUGAAGGAUGGCAGGUUCAGAGCUAACCGUGACUCCAGAAAAGGUGGGAAGAAAGGUGGCAAAGGAAAGGGUGGUGGAGGUGGUGGUGGUGGCGGCGGGGGUGGCGGUGCGCGUGGGCGUGGGCGUGGCAUACGUGGAGUUGAUUUUGGCCUUGGCAUUGGCUAUGGUUCUGAAUCAGGGCCACAAGUACCUGCUCCAAGAUCUGCCACUGUAAACGUGUUGAAGACAGGGAUGAUGCAAAAUUUUAAGAGUAGCUUUGUCUCGGCGUCUUCGAGUGCGCCAAGCAACAGUGCACCUUCGAGGGGUGCACCUUCUUUUGUAAAACCCACACUUCGUGGUUUUGUUUCCGGUGGUACCAUAGGAGGGGAUUCAGGUGCAGCAAGGCCAGCACCACCGGCGCCCUCAUUUGUUCCUGCGUCCAGGCCAGCAGGAAACACUAAGGAUGCAGCAAGGCCAGCACCACCGGCGCCCUCAUUUGUUCCUGCGUCCAGGCCAGCAGGAAACACUAACGAAAACGGGAACACAAACCCUGAAAGCUCGAAGGAUCAACGGAGGGAGAGAAAGCGGCCAUCUGGGUGGGAUCGCUAG